rnacentral:ncRNA from 1 species
AGAUACUAAAUGGAAUACUUAAGGUGUAAACUUUUAUCCAAUAAUGAUUGACGCUGAGGAACGAAGGUGAGAAUAGAAAAUAGGAUUUGAGACCCAGAUAUCUCUCACUGUCAACGAUGAGUGGUAGUUGUUAGUCUUAUUAAAGGCUAGUAGCGAUGUUAACGCGAUAACCAUUCCGCCUUGCGAGUACGGUUGCAAAACUGAAACCAAAAAAAUUAGUCGCUCUUGAAGCAAACGAAGUGAAGCAUGUUGUUUAAUACGUCAGUACGCGUAAAAUCUUACCAGUUCUUG